rnacentral:rRNA from 1 species
GGACUACCCGGGUUUCUAAUCCUGUUUGCUCCCCAUGCUUUCGUGCCUCAGUGUCAGUAUCUGUCCAGAAAGUCGCCUUCGCCACCGAUGUUCCUUCCAAUAUCUACGCAUUUCACCGCUACACUGGAAAUUCCACCUUCCUCUACAGUACUCUAGCCACGCAGUAUCAAGCGCAAUUCCCAGGUUAAGCCCGGGGCUUUCACACCUAACUUACGCAACCACCUACGCACCCUUUACGCCCAGUAAUUCCGAUUAACGCUCGCACCCUCUGUAUUACCGCGGCUGCUGGCAC